rnacentral:tRNA from 1 species
AAAGCUUUAAGUUAAUCAUAAACUAACAUCCUUCAAAGUUGUCAAUAAAAAUCUUUUUUAAGCUUUA